rnacentral:rRNA from 1 species
UACGGGGGGGGCAAGCGUUGUUCGGAAUUACUGGGCGUAAAGGGCUCGUAGGCGGCCAACUAAGUCGGACGUGAAAUCCCCAGGCUCAACCUGGGAACUGCGUCUGAUACUGGAUGGCUUGAGUUUGGGAGAGGGACGCGGAAUUCCAGGUGUAGCGGUGAAAUGCGUAGAUAUCUGGAGGAAUACCGGUGGCGAAGGCGGCAUCCUGGACCGACAUUGACGCUGAGGAGCGAAAGCUAGGGGAGCAAACGGG